rnacentral:rRNA from 1 species
GACGAACGCUGGCGGCGUGCUUAACACAUGCAAGUCGAGCGGUAAGGCCCUUUCGGGGGUACACGAGCGGCGAACGGGUGAGUAACACGUGGGUGACCUGCCCUCAGCUCUGGGAUAAGCCUGGGAAACCGGGUCUAAUACUGGAUAUGACUCCAUGACGCAUGUUGUGGGGUGGAAAGCCUUGUGCGGCUGAGGAUGGGCCCGCGGCCUAUCAGCUUGUUGGUGGGGUGANGGCCUACCAAGGCGACGACGGGUAGCCGGCCUGAGAGGGCGACCGGCCACACUGGGACUGAGACACGGCCCAGACUCCUACGGGAGGCAGCAGUGGGGAAUCUUGCGCAAUGGGCGAAAAGCCUGACGCAGCGACGCCGCGUGAGGGAUGACGGCC